UACGUAGGGCGCAAGCGUUGUCCGGAAUUAUUGGGCGUAAAGAGCUCGUAGGCGGUCUGUCGCGUCGGAUGUGAAAGCCCGGGGCUUAACCCCGGGUCUGCAUUCGAUACGGGCAGACUAGAGUGUGGUAGGGGAGAUCGGAAUUCCUGGUGUAGCGGUGAAAUGCGCAGAUAUCAGGAAGAACACCCGUGGCUAAGGCGGCUCUCUAGUACGGUACUGACGCUGAGACGCGAAAGCGUGGGGAGCGAACAGG
rnacentral:rRNA from 1 species